CCCUUAUGAGCUGUGCUACACACGUGCUACAAUGGACGCCACAACGAGUAGCGAGACUGCAAAGUUUAGCGAAUCUUUCAAAGGCGUUCUCAGUUCGGAUUGUUCUCUGCAACUCGAGAGCAUGAAGCCGGAAUCGCUAGUAAUCGCGGAUCAGCAUGCCGCGGUGAAUACGUUCCCAGGCCUUGUACACACCGCCCGUCACACCAUGGGAGUUGGUUUUACCCGAAG
rnacentral:rRNA from 15 species